rnacentral:rRNA from 1 species
CCUACGGGUGGCUGCAGUGGGGAAUAUUGGACAAUGGGGGGAACCCUGAUCCAGCCAUGCCGCGUGUGUGAAGAAGGCCCUCGGGUUGUAAAGCACUUUCAGUGAGGAAGAACGCCUGGUGGUUAAUACCCAUCAGGAAAGACAUCACUCACAGAAGAAGCACCGGCUAACUCCGUGCCAGCAGCCGCGGUAAUACGGAGGGUGCGAGCGUUAAUCGGAAUUACUGGGCGUAAAGCGCGCGUAGGUGGCUUGAUAAGCCGGUUGUGAAAGCCCCGGGCUCAACCUGGGAACGGCAUCCGGAACUGUCAAGCUAGAGUGCAGGAGAGGAAGGUAGAAUUCCCGGUGUAGCGGUGAAAUGCGUAGAGAUCGGGAGGAAUACCAGUGGCGAAGGCGGCCUUCUGGACUGACACUGACACUGAGGUGCGAAAGCGUGGGUAGCAAACAGGAUUAGAUACCUUAGUAGUC